CCCCUCAAUAUUUCGCACAUAAUCAAGUGUAUCAGCAAUUAAAUGCACACAUUAUCAUGACCUUGGCAUGGCGGAUGAUAAGACACGCCGAUCGGAAGGAUAUGAAGCGGCAGUAUGUUUAUAUCACCAUGACCUAGGCCUGAUUACGCGUCUCUAUUACCCUGUGCGUCACAGAUUUUAAGGCGUCUAAUCAGGCUGCGUGUUUUAUUCAAAUUUCAAACUGAUGUGUUGCUCUACACUUAAUUUGCACUGAUGAUGGCGAUAAUGAUGCCCGGGAUACACGCUUGACUGAAAUGAAGCCACUUUCACGGCAACACCGACUCAAAAUCAUUUAUGGAAGUUGAUAUUGCAAAUGAUUUCUGCAAAAACGAGUUCUAUGUUUGUUCAUUUCUGAGUGCUUUUGAAUGCUAGAGCUCAUAGUUAUAUAGUUUGUGAUGUGACAUCAUCCUCAGGAGUGUCAGGUGUGGAGGAAAACAGGUAAUCUGAAACUCUGUGUUUAAUAACUUGAGUUAGCCGUAUUGUCCAUUCAUUAUUCAUCAUGCUUCUUUUCAAAGGUCCCAUAGAGGAUGUUUUAGAGGAGCAUGUGGUGUCUUUCAACCAGUGCAGGACAUCUAUAACUUAUUUAACACUCAUGGUUGCUGAGCAGCUUGUGUUGCAUCACAGCACAAGAAGCAGAUCCAAAGGUCAUCCCAUCACCACAUGAAUUCAUGACUCCUCCCUUAAAAUACUCCCUACAUAGACAGCUCACUGGAGCCAAUUAUCUCCCCGUCCCACAGCAGACAGUAAACGUCUUUGGGCUCAGUCGUGCUCUCACUGAUGUCCUGGAUGUCACACAGGAAAAACGAACGGAUCCGUGGAGUUUUAUUGCUGUGGUUCCGUCAUAAAUCAAGCUCAGCUGAGCCCUGGAAUCAACAUAAGUGAUUACCCACCACUUGACUGAGAAGAUACGAUUCGUCACGUAUCCUCAGGGUUUAGUGAGGCUAAACCGUCUCCGAUUAUUCAGAGAGAUUAUGUACAACCUCACAGCUCAAAGUCAAGUCUUAAAUCAUAUGGUAACAGAAAAGUAUGAUGGCAUUACCCUGUUAUUUUGGCAUUUACCAUGAUAAUGCCAUGGUAUUAUAUUAUAUGAUACUUGUUAUUAAUCAGAACCAUGGUAAAUAUUGAAGUCUUGUUGUAUUACAAUGUUUUUGAGGGGCUUGAUACCAUAAAAGUACCAUGUUUUAGACAUUUACUGUGGUAAUGUCAUAAUCUUUGGCAUAUAUACAGCAGCACUAUAUAUGAAUAUUGUAAUCAAGCUAUACCAUCUGAUUUUAACAUUACCAUUGUAGCACCAUAUUAUCUUUGUAAGGACAAAUCGAUCUGAUUCAUUAAAAUAUCCAGCCAUGAUUCAUUAUAUUCUAAUGAUUUCAUAUGUGAGUGAAAUGAGUGUCAUUGUAUCAGAUGUGAUUAUGAGCUCUGUGUCUGUGAUUCAGGUGGAUGUCUGGUGUUUUCUUUAAAGUGUUAUCCUCCGUCUGCGGGAAUGACUUCCAUAUGUCACCUGAAAGACCACCCAGAGUCCAUUAUAUAGUAAUUGGGUCACUUGUCUUCUGCUGAAUCUUUUCUUUCUCACACUGAAUAAAGGCGGAUUUUUCUGGGCCGAUUAUAGAGAG
ensembl:lncRNA